rnacentral:rRNA from 1 species
ACGUACACUCCUGCGGGAGGCAGCAGUGGGGAAUUUUGGACAAUGGGCGAAAGCCUGAUCCAGCCAUGCCGCGUGCAGGAUGAAGGCCUUCGGGUUGUAAACUGCUUUUGUACGGAACGAAACGGCCUUUUCUAAUAAAGAGGGCUAAUGACGGUACCGUAAGAAUAAGCACCGGCUAACUACGUGCCAGCAGCCGCGGUAAUACGUAGGGUGCAAGCGUUAAUCGGAAUUACUGGGCGUAAAGCGUGCGCAGGCGGUUAUGUAAGACAGUUGUGAAAUCCCCGGGCUCAACCUGGGAACUGCAUCUGUGACUGCAUAGCUAGAGUACGGUAGAGGGGGAUGGAAUUCCGCGUGUAGCAGUGAAAUGCGUAGAUAUGCGGAGGAACACCGAUGGCGAAGGCAAUCCCCUGGACCUGUACUGACGCUCAUGCACGAAAGCGUGGGGAGCAAACAGGAUUAGAUACCCUGGUAGUCCC